rfam:Bacillus sp. FJAT-22058 super1, whole genome shotgun sequence.
CUCUUAUCCCGAGUUGGUGGAGGGACAGGCCCUUUGAAACCCAGCAACCUGCCAUAUUGAACUUGACUCCAAGAUCGAUCGCCGAAAAUAAAGCGAAGGUCUUCAAGGAACAGUGGUGAUGGUGCUAACCUGAGCAAGGUAAAAAACCCUUGAACGAUAAGAG